rnacentral:rRNA from 1 species
CCUACGGGAGGCAGCAGUGAGGAAUAUUGGUCAAUGGGCGCUAGCCUGAACCAGCCAAGUCGCGUGAAGGAUGACUGCCCUCUGGGUUGUAAACUUCUUUUAUAUGGGAAUAAAGUGCAGUAUGUAUACUGCUUUGCAUGUACCUUAUGAAUAAGGAUCGGCUAAUUCCGUGCCAGCAGCCGCGGUACUACGUUGGUGGCGAGCGUUAUCCGGAAUGAUUGGGCGUAAAGGGUGCGCAGGCGGUCCUGCAAGUCUGGAGUGAAACGAAUGAGCUCAACACAUGCAGGGCAUUGGAAACUGGAGGACUGGAGAGCAGGAGAGGGCGGUGGAACUCCAGGUGUAGCGGUAAAAUGCGUAGAUAUAUGGAAGAACACCAGUGGCGAAGGCGGCCGCCUGGCCUGUUGCUGACGCUGAGGCACGAAAGCGUGGGGAGCAAAUAGGAUUAGAUACCCCAGUAGUC